rnacentral:rRNA from 1 species
CAGUCGAGCGACAGAUAAGGAGCUUGCUCCUUUGACGUUAGCGGCGGACGGGUGAGUAACACGUGGGUAACCUACCUAUAAGACUGGAAUAACUCCGGGAAACCGGGGCUAAUGCCGGAUAACAUUUAGAACCGCAUGGUUCUAAAGUGAAAGAUGGUUUUGCUAUCACUUAUAGAUGGACCCGCGCCGUAUUAGCUAGUUGGUAAGGUAACGGCUUACCAAGGCAACGAUACGUAGCCGACCUGAGAGGGUGAUCGGCCACACUGGAACUGAGACACGGUCCAGACUCCUACGGGAGGCAGCAGUAGGGAAUCUUCCGCAAUGGGCGAAAGCCUGACGGAGCAACGCCGCGUGAGUGAUGAAGGUCUUCGAAUCGUAAAACUCUGUUAUUAGGGAA